rnacentral:rRNA from 1 species
GACGAACGCUGGCGGCGUGCUUAACACAUGCAAGUCGAACGGAAAGGCCCUGCUUUUGUGGGGUGCUCGAGUGGCGAACGGGUGAGUAACACGUGAGUAACCUGCCCUUGACUUUGGGAUAGCUUCAGGAAACUGGGGCUAAUACCGGAUAGGAGCUCCUGCUGCAUGGUGGGGGUUGGAAAGUUUCGGCGGUUGGGGAUGGACUCGCGGCUUAUCAGCUUGUUGGUGGGGUAGUGGCUUACCAAGGCUUUGACGGGUAGCCGGCCUGAGAGGGUGACCGGCCACAUUGGGACUGAGAUACGGCCCAGACUCCUACGGGAGGCAGCAGUGGGGAAUAUUGCACAAUGAGCGGAAGCCUGAUGCAGCAACGCCGCGUGCGGGAUGACGGCCUUCGGGUUGUAAACCGCUUUCGCCUGUGACGAAGCGUGAGUGACGGUAAUGGGUAAAGAAGCACCGGCUAACUACGUG